UACGAAGGGGGCUAGCGUUGUUCGGAAUUACUGGGCGUAAGGCGCGCGCAGGCGGUUCUUCAAGUCAGUGGUGAAAGCCCGGAGCUCAACUCCGGAACUGCCAUUGAAACUGUAGAACUUGAGGACGAGAGAGGUGAGUGGAAUUCCCAGUGUAGAGGUGAAAUUCGUAGAUAUUGGGAAGAACACCGGUGGCGAAGGCGGCUCACUGGCCCGGUACUGACGCUGAGGUGCGAAAGCGUGGGGAGCAAACAGG
rnacentral:rRNA from 1 species